UCCAGUUCAGUCCAGACCAUCUCUGAUGAGGAGAAACCUUCACCUGACUGCAGCUUGAACAAAGACCCAGGUAUUGAGCUGCUUACAGCCUGAGUCUCACACCCACACGCUUUUUAGGCUUUGGUUCUUGAGGGGGUCAAGUCCAGCACUGCAGCCAACAUCUGAAGUUCCACAAAUUCUACCUAAAUACAAACAAGUAAAAUUCCUUUAAAAUAUUCUCAAAGCUGGUGGGCAACAUUGAAAAGAGGUUAAUAUCCCGGACAAGCCCCCAAGUUUUAACCUACAUAUUAGAAAAUCAGUAAAUGACACCCCUUUGGAUUAUGUUUAGGGCACAUUUUUAUAUCAUUAGCUGUAAACCUAGUUAUUCCCAAGUAAUCCACUUUAAUUAAACUGAAUCCUGUUUGCAAGUUAGUAAGUCUUAAAGUUUGCCUUGGAGCAGCAGACACUCCAUCUGAAGAUGCCUGCAGGGACACAUUCCAAAUGUGUGUGAGUGUGUGUUGUUGGGCUUGAGUCCAAAUGAGUUACUAGUUUUACUCCCAGUUUUCCUUUAAAAGCCAAGUUCACUGAGAAACUAUUUUUACUCGUUCUUUUUUAAAUAUAAUCGGUCACUCUGAGUUUAACAAGCUGGCUGAAUGUGAAAAUAGUCUUCUACCCCAUUUCCUGCAUUAGCCGUCGAUAGAAAAUAGAAAACAACUUUUUGAGUCUUCCUAAGAUGUGAUUUUAUAGUUAUUUAUGUAUUGGUGGGGGAGGGGGUGUACUUUGGCACAAACUGUUGCUGUUUUGUCUUCAGUAUUUUUUCCAUCACUUACCUGGCGAGUGAACGUCGGAAUCCACAGGACUAAACUGUACUUACAUCAGUUAAACACUUUGCUGCUGCCCUCAAAACGCCAUUCUAGCUGACCUGAGUUCAGACCCAGAGCUCAGAAUGUUGCAGCAGUAAAGGAGUAUCAGAGCCUGACCCAGCGGUUUUGUUUCAGGGUUCCUGAACGUUCUGAUGAACUGUCAGUGGCAGAGUUUAUGGUGCCAGGUGGAGGAUGGAGUUCUCAACAUGUUUGGCGAGGAGGAGGUGAAACAGGAAGAGCAGAAGAAGCGUUCUCCAGAGUACACUGUCCAGCUCAGAGGCUGUAAAGUCAGAGGAGGAACUGACACUGAUCGCUCCUACAGGAUCUCUCUGAGCAUGCUCGGUGACCAGGUGGCUGUACUGGAGGUGAACUCUUCAGAGGAGAAACUACGUUGGCUGAAGCUGCUUCAGGACGGAACUGUCAAUCACAGUUACCAUGACAACAAGACUCAGGAGCCCACAGGGGGCGCUCUGAGCGGGCUGCAGACUCGCAGGUUCCCCACCUCCAACACCUACAUGGACGACCCGUUCAGUCUGAGCGGAGUGAGCAAAGACCAGCCCGUCUACUCCAACUCCUCCAUUCUGGAGCACAUGCUCCACAGCUCUCAGGAUUUAGUUCAGCGCAGCUCGAUGUCGUCCAGGGACUCGGCGACCUACAGCAACACGACUGUCUGCAGUCAGAGUGAGUCCUGGUCUGGUUCAGGUGGUUUGGUUCUGGUCCUCUUCACAGAUACAGACGGAUCUGUGGGGAAGAACUGGAUGCUGCAGCAGCAAAAGAUCUAA
rnacentral:lncRNA from 1 species